AGGCUUAACACAUGCAAGUCGAGCGCACGUAGCAAUACGUGAGCGGCAGACGGGAGAGUAACACGUGGGAACGUACCUUUCGGUUCGGAAUAACUCAGGGAAACUUGAGCUAAUACCGAAUACGUCCGCAAGGAGAAAGAUUUAUCGCCGAAAGAUCGGCCCGCGUCCGAUUAGCUAGUUGGUGGGGUAAUGGCCCACCAAGGCGACGAUCGGUAGCUGGUCUGAGAGGAUGAUCAGCCUCACUGGGACUGAGACACGGCCCAGACUCCUACGGGAGGCAGCAGUGGGGAAUAUUGGACAAUGGGCGCAAGCCUGAUCCAGCCAUGCCGCGUGGGUGAUGAAGGCCUUAGGGUUGUAAAGCCCUUUCGGCGGGGAAGAUAAUGACGGUACCCCGCAGAAGAAGCCCCGGCUAACUUCGUGCCAGCAGCCGCGGUAAUACGAAGGGGGCUAGCGUUGCUCGGAAUCACUGGGCGUAAAGCGCACGUAGGCGGGUCUUUAAGUCAGGGGUGAAAUCCUGGAGCUCAACCUCCCGAACUGCCUUUGAUACUGGAGACCUAAAGUCGGGAGAGGUGAGUGGAACUGCGAGUGUAGA
rnacentral:rRNA from 1 species